CCUGAGUGUUCUUUCAGUUUAGAUGAAAACAGAAUGUUUGCAGGGGGAAAUUCUUUAGAACAGUGAUUGCUGUUGGAUGAGAUCUAGCAAGGUGAUAUUUUUUUUUCUGAACUAUUUUGUAGAAAAGAAAAGUAAGAGAGAGAGAGAGAGAGAAGGGUUUUUCUCAAAUUUGCACAUGGGUGUUUCCUACCAUUGCUUGUAAGAUAAACAGUGCUGCUUAGUGAGGAAGACUGUUAGUGCACGGUGAUAAGAACUACAGAACAGAGACGUGUGCGGUGCUGCGGCAUUAACCACGGACGUCAAAUGGUCUUCCGUUCACGACAGAAAACAUGUAUCUACGAAAAUUGUAUAUUGAGAAAGAAUCAAGCAAUGGUGACUCAAAGAACACAGACAUUGACUAUUCAGAAAAUAAGUGUGAAACUGAAUAACAUUGUCACAAAUAACCACUUUAGCUACUAAAAAACACCCACAAGAAGUUAAUAAGUUGAAAAGUGAACGGCAUAACAUGGGGAAAUAAUAAGGAUGUUUGUGGCCUUUUUGUCAGUCCCAGGUCACUGCAGGUGUUACCUGCAAAAGUCCUUUCUUGGAGCUUCUGAGGAAAUCUAGCCACGGAGCCCUGAAGGAGUGUUGGCUGAGGUUCGUGGCUUUGCGGGCCAAAGAGUGACCAGCUCCGUUCGUAAUGGAUAAGAAAAGCUGGGAGUGAUGUUUAUCCGGAACUGUAGACUUGGAUCCGUGUUUUGGUAGUCUAGACAGAAAUUUAAUGAAGAGAAAUUGAGAACUGAGAAAAUUAUAAAAGGCCUGCGGUGAACGCUCCAUAUGUUCCGUGCAGACUUCCAAAAAUACACACGUGUGAGGAUAACUGCAGAACGCCAGUGAAAUGUGAAAGCCAAGAAGACUUUUACGUUGUCUGAAGCUCACAGUUUUCUUCCGGCCCACGGGCGGAUUGGCAGGGAAUAAACGGUCACAGUGCGAACACGCGCUGUCACAAAUGUUGACCAAAACCACCGCACGAACAACACUUUGAUCCCUAAGCAAGUAGGAUGCAAGGAAAAGAAAUGUAGGAGAACACUAACCUGAACCGCCAGAAACUGAAUGCUGUGAAUGGGAAGAGGCUUCUUUUAUUAAAUACAGCACUGGUAAACUGGCAAAAUAAGUCAGUAUAUCAGAAAGUAAAUACAUAAUUAAAAAAAUAAACAAAUGAAUAAAGAAAAUUGACAGUUCCCAGAGAAAUAAAAUGAAAUGUAGCGCUACAGUGCCACAACAUCUUACCUGCCCAGGUUUCAAGCAAAACUGACAAGAUAUCCAUAGGAAAAUAAAGCAUAGCCCAUACACAGAAAAACAAUUCUUUUUUUUUUUUUUUUUUUGGUUUUUCUCCGGUACCGGAACCGAACUCACUACCUUGCGCUUGCCAGGCAAGCGCUUUUGCCGCUGAGCUAAAUCCCCAGUCC
rnacentral:lncRNA from 1 species